rnacentral:lncRNA from 1 species
GUCUGUAUUGUAGGUUUGCAAGAAUACAAGGUAUCCACUGUGGAGACAGUCAGGGAGUUGAUUGAGAAAGGAAAUGCAACAAGGAGUACUGGAACCACUGGUGCAAAUGAGGAAUCCUCCCGUUCGCAUGCCAUACUUCAGCUCGCCAUCAAAAGAAAGGUUGAUGACAAUGAUUCAAAACCAGCUCGACUAGUUGGCAAGCUAUCUUUCAUUGAUCUUGCUGGAAGCGAACGUGGGGCUGAUACAACUGAUAAUGACAAACAAACUAGGUAGCAUUAGAUUAGAUAGAUCUGCUAUGUGUAUGAGUAAGAAUUGCAAGAAAUUGUCAACUUAUUUGAGGAUCACUGAAUCUUACCUUCUUUUGCAGAAUGGAAGGUGCUGAAAUUAACAAGAGCUUACUUGCUCUAAAAGAAUGCAUUAGAGCUCUUGACAAUGACCAGGGUCACAUUCCAUUCAGGGGGAGUAAACUGACUGAAGUUCUGAGAGAUUCAUUUGUUGGUGACUCCCGUACAGUGAUGAUAUCCUGCGUUUCACCAAAUUCAGGGUCAUGUGAACAUACUCUGAACACUCUAAGAUAUGCUGACAGGUAAAGCCAUCAUGUAAGAGAAGUUUCAUGAAGUUAAAAUGUACUUUGCUUUAGAAAGGUCUAAGGUUCAAUUGCAUAUCAGGGUUAAGAGUCUAUCUAAGGGGAACAGCUCAAAGAGGGAACCGCUGUCCACAUUAAAUCUUCGUAGUUCAACUCCAGUGCCUUUGUCCUCAAUCAGUCAAGUUGUGUCAGGCCCUGAGGAUAAUGUAUUUGGUGGGCUGCAGAACCAAGAGCUCAGCAAACUUGGAUGGCCUAAACAACAAGAAAGGGAAUCCUCACUAUCUUCCAACAUUGAGCGUGUUCCUAGUGGUCAAGCACAGAGCAAUUUGGCUGCCACAGUGCAUAUAGAGAAUCACAAGCAAUUUGGUCCAAGUAUUGAUCGUGUUCCUAGUGGACGAGCCCAAUGGAGUAGUCUGGUUCACACAAAUGAAGAUAAUUUUGAUGGCUCUAAAGGGAUCUCUGACCAUGCAUCUUGGUCUAUAAAUCCAAAAUUGGAUAGCCAUCAGCUACGAAAUAUAGAUGAUAAGACUGGAAACGUAAAGUAUGGGGACCCAUCUGAACUUGAGCCAAGUAGCUUGAUCGCAGAAGAUGAUCUUACUGCUUUGUUAAAGGUAAAAGCAAUAUUUGAUCUUGGUUUACUUGUCAAAAGAUAAAAUAACAACUGCUAAGUUAAAAUUCUACUUGUUUGAUGUCAGGAAGAGGGAGAUCUUAUCAAUGCUCAUAGAAAACAAGUUGAGGAAACUAUGGAAAUUGUCAAGGAGGUUGGUUAUUCAGUGCUUUUUGCCUAUCUGCGUACAAUAAGUUUUAAAAUACAGUUAAGUAUUAAGCUGCAUCUCUUGUUUACUGUGUUUCUCUAUGCAGGAGAUGAGUCUAUUAGUUGAAGUUCAUGAACCCGGUAAUCAGCUUGAUGACUAUAUUUCUAGACUGAAUGCCAUUCUAUCCCAGAAGGCUGCUGGAAUUCUGCAAUUGCAAAAUCGCUUGGUAGAAUUUCAAAAGCAUCUUAAAGACCACGAGGUUUUCUUAUUUCCUUCUGGUCAUUGAGUCAACUGUUGAGAUUCGACAGAAACUACCACUUAUACAGAGUUAGCCUCAAAUUGGUGAUACUAUGACUUCUUGGUCCUACCUGGUCUGCAAAUUUUAGGUUGGUUGCUUUGAGAUCUACUUCCGGGGGACAAUACUACUAGAUGUACAGACUUACCGAGCGGAUUAUGGAAGGCUCAUCAAACGAUGCAGAAAUGCAGUAAUUAGAUGUUCAAUCGAAAUGCUGCCAAUAGCUAUAUGGGACGGGUUAUGCAACUAUUGGCAGUGUAUCUUGGAGCCUCAGAAGUCUCAGCAUGUUGAAAGAUAUUGUAAGAAACUUUGGAUUGGGCUUGUGCUGGUGAAAAUUUUCACCCCAAUUGUUGGUUAUGUUGUAUGGGUGACGGUACGAGAAUGCCUGUCAUCUGCUUUGUGUGCAUAUAAUGGGUACCGUUCCUUGGAGUUUGCCAUGUUAUUACAUCCCGACUCCUAAGAUAAAACUACAACUCAACCUAAAGUGUAUUUUCAUUUGAGUGCAUGAGGUAAUCGCUAGAUAUCCGUAUGUUAUUUCUAGACUCACAGAAGUAACGAACUUUGACCGCAAGCACCGUAUCUCACUUGUCCCUAUGGAUAGCAAAAGUAGUUUUUCAGAAGAGAGAUUAUGGCAACUUGUUUUCAUCCCUCAUGAUGAAUCUACAGGGAAAUAUUUACACAAAUAUUGAAGUUCUUUAAGGAGACCAUUAAUUCGGCAAAACACAAAUCUAUAAAUCAACGGGUUAUAUAUAACAAAAAGAUGAGGAAUCAGCUAGAUCAAAUUGCAAGGAGGCCACAGGGUUCGAUCUCCAUCCGACCCAUCAUCCAAACACUUGGGAUCCUCGGUUACAUUACACUUGGGAUCCUCGGUUACAUUUUUUUUAGUGCCAACCCAAUGCCACCACUAGAAUUGUGUCAAGUGUCUUGUUGUCAUUAGCAUUUUAAUUUUUUAUUAACUCAAAUUGGUUCAAAAUUAACACAAAUUUUCUUAUUCUCUAAAACUCUAAACCAAAAGGCACCCGGCCGGUCUAACUCCUGCAUCGAUAAUUUUAUACCGCUGCUGCUUUGGGGAAAAAGAAUAAGAAAACCCUCUGUUUCCGAUGAUUGCCUUCAUUUGUGGCUUGAUCGAUGGUGUUCCAGUAAACCAUUAGCCCAAGAGCUUUGUGUCGUGGAUCCGCCGCAUCAGUUGGUUUCAGAUUUCUUUGGUCCAAGAAUUUGAUGGGGCAAGGAGUUAGCAUUGGGAUUCGGAGUUCAACCAAUGAAUGCGUCUGCAAGGUUGAUAUUAAGCCUUGGUUAUUUACUCCAAGAAAAGGGUUCAGAAGUUCAGAGGCCAAUUCCACUGCAAUUGACAUAUAUUGGGAUUUUUCAUCCGCAAAAUUUGGUUUUGGCCCGGAACCGCUAGAGGGGUUCUAUUUAGCUGUUGCAUUUAACCAAGAACUUGUCCUGCUCCUCGGGGAUUUGCAAAAGGAAGUGUAUAAGAAAAUAGGUCCUAGCCCUGUUGAAUCUAAUACGGUGUUUAUUGCCAAAAGAGAGCACAUCUUUGGGAAGAGAGUAUACACUACAAAGGCUCAAUUCUGUGACCACGGGCCGAUACAUGACAUCGAAAUUGAGUGCGAUACUGGGGGGAUUAACGAUCCAUCUCUGGCCAUCAGCGUGGAUAGCAGAGCGGUGUUGCAGGUGAAGCGGCUGCGGUGGAAGUUCAGGGGGAACCAGACUAUUUUGGUGGAUGGACUGCCGGUGGAAGUGUACUGGGAUGUUCACAGGUGGUUCUUAGGGAAUGUUAUGGGCAAUGCUGUUUUCCUGUUUCAAACCUGUCUCUCGGCCGAGAUGCUGCGAAACAGAGGGUUUUCUUAUUCUUUUUCCCCAAAACAGCAGCUGUACAAAAUUAUUGAUGCUGGAGUUAGACCGGCCGGGUGCCUUUUGGUUCCGAAUUUUAGAGAAUAAGAAAAUUUGUGUUAACUUUGAACCAAUUUGAGUUAAUAAAAAACUAAAGUGCUAAUGACAACAAGACACUUGGCGCAAUUCUAACGAUGGCGUUGCAUUGGCACUAAAAAAAAUGUAACCGAGGAUCCAAGUGUCAUCCAAAGCACUAAACAGGGGUGCUACGAACGAAAAAACAACUUGAUUCAAGUGUGGGACUAAACCAUUAAUGGUGUAGAGUCAAAUGCUAGAAAAUUCAAAAUGGUGGAGAAGAUUUUGAAUGAGAGAACAAUCUGAUUGAAUAGGCAUCGACUUGAGUUUGGAAUUUGUUGUUUGCACGCUGAGGUGCUUGGAAAACUUGCGGAUUCACCAGCCAGGAUAGUAUAAAUCAAUGGCUGGAAACCGUGCAAUAAGAUUUCCAGCAAUCCUGUUUGUGUUAAAAUUUGGCAAACAGCUCCCUUGGUGAAGCCCAGAAACUAAGGUUUUCCGUUUCCCACAGAAGAAAAAUAGAUUUUUGUUGUCCCAUUUUCUGUUUUUUGGUUUUUUUUUUUUUUUUUUUUGCAAAGAAAUGCAAGUCGCCAUGCUAAAAGAAAAGACUUGUGUUUUGAACAAAUUGUAUGCUAGACUGACCAGUAGUAAAGAAAAGAUUUGUCCAAGUACAAAAGAACUAAAACUUGUUGAACGGUCAUUUUCUGGCCUCACAGCCUCAUUUUUGUCUGCGCGUGUCGUGGAGGGUCAGCUGGGGACAGCGAAAGGGAAAGUAAUCCUCAGGAAGAAGACGACGUCUGUAAAACUUGAUGAAUGACUCCAAGAGUUUGAAGGGAGAGCCAGACGACCGCCAUAGGGCAAUUGGUAAACGACAGAAAAUGGCAAAGACCCAUACCGUCUCAUUACCAUCCAAGAUGAGAAGAAGAUAUAUACAACACAACUGAGUGGAGAAAAAAAAAAAACAGCACCCACGCCACGCACAAACCCACACCCGUCCCUUGACAAAUGCUGUGUUAUAUACAACGCAUCACAAAACCUCCCGCUGGCUGCUGCAGAUAGGUGGACGCAUCAAUGCGGAUUAGAUUUAGAUCCAGAACUAGAAGGGCACUGCUGGUUCCUCAUAGGUCACAAUUCACAAGUGAUGUGUCACUGGAUUUUCAAUACAAAUUUGGAAACGUAUAAUUUCUUCAUCAACUUUGCAAUGCAUAUAUUCAGGGUGAUCUUGACCAUUCAAUGAUUCCCCAUCCCUUUUUUGUCCGAAAGGUGCUUUGUCAUCAUUCUCUACUACUUCUUUGGGUUGAAAUUUAACGUCUCCCUGCUCCCACCAUAACUGCACUUUAAUUUACAGUCAAUGUUGCCCUGUUUGUUUAUAUUUUACGUCUUUUCUUUGAUUCCUCUCUUUCAUCCAACUGAGAAUCUCUUAUCUCUAGUUUAACCAAUUGUUGCUCUGUGGAUGCUCUUCGUUUCAUCCCCCAUUGGGUACUUGAAGAAAGCUGAGAAUUUACCGAGUGCCAUACAUAAGUUUACGACACUACCCAAGACGUAGGUGAUAAAUACUAGGUGGUUUUACCACGUAUGUAUGUUGAUUGGGAAGGGAAAAAAUUCUAGAGGAAAUUGUGGAGCUGCUCUCGCUUCUAAUCCAAGGGCUGCUUUAUGUUACCUCGUAUUCUAUCACAUCCACAAUUAUCCUUCUUAUCCAAAUACUUGUUUUUGAUUAUUUGCCUUUAGCAAAGUCGUUACCAUGAAACUGUGAAAGGAGCAUUUGCGAUAAAGGUUGGACUAAAAGUUGUAGCUCUAAAAGUUCAAAUAGAAAUUUUGUUUUCACGUAUAUGUAUGAUCUUGUCACCUUGUGAAUUUCUUUCUGCAGACAAUUAAUGUGUCUUUUCUUCUAAUUUGAUGGAAGACUUUAAUUAACUUUAAUGGUUAUGUGGUAGUGGCUACCAAAGGGGUCUUGAUCAAGUUGUUAAUAUUAAAGUUUCCAAAUUAGAGGUCGUGAAUUCUAAUUCUUCAUCUAUUUCUUUCAUCUCAUGACCUAUAAUAAUAAUGAUGAUGACUAAGUCUUUGGAUCCUCUACUACAAUUUUUGUGUUAAACUCCCUAUUUUAACGUGUGGCGAGGUCUACAAGAAAGUGUUGAGAGCCUCUUGUUUGGAUUGCUAUUUUUCUUCAAAAAAUUUGAACAUUUUUCGUAAAUAUAUUUCUCAAUCAUCUUUUUAUAUUAUAUACAUGAAAUCGUUUUAGUACAUUUUUCUAUGAAUUUUUUUUUUACCUCACAUACAUAAAAUCGUUACAAUAUAUUUUUUUUUAAAAAAAAACUAAAAAAAUGGCAAUCCAGAUGGACUCCUAUACAUUUCUCAAUCAUUUUUUCAUCUUAUAUAUAUGAAAUUAUUAUAAUACAUUUUUCUACAAAAAUUCUUUUUGCCUCGUACACAUAAAAUCGCUACAAUAAAUCUUUUAUAAAAAUUUAAAAAAUAGCAAUCUAGAUGGACUCUUAGUAAUUGAAAUUCUACAAAACAACAAAAUAUGCCGUCGUUGCUAUGGGACCGAAAAGACAACGUAAUCUUGUGUUUAUUGUACAAAUCUGGUUUCCCUUGCGUCCCUUUCAUGAAACGGCCACUUUUCUCAUCGCAAAUUUUAGGCUUUUCAUCGUAUCUCUGACCUUUCCUCAAAUUCGCUGUCAAUGUGCGUCUCUGUGGAGCACAUAAUUUAUCAGCUCUUAAAGUAAUGAACUUCAUCGAUUGAUUUACCAUUUGAAUAAAGAUACUAUUGGUAUUUCAAUUAACAACGUUAUAUAGGUUAUUUUCUAUCAAGUUUUCACUCUACAUGAGAUGAUAAGGGGUGAAGUGAAUAUAUUGAAACGUUAGGGAGGGUCACGUGGCAAUAGAUGAAAAUACAAAAGAAUUAUAUGUAAUUUAACCUAUACUUUGCUUACUCCAAUAUACUAAAAUUAAUGGCAUGAGAAGAAAGUUUUAAACAAGAAUUUGUGCUUUGAAUAGUACGACAAGAAUUUUGGAUUUGUUCUCUGUUCGACAAUUUGUCUAGGGGUUUUAAACAAUUAGCAACUGAACUCAAUUUUAAUGAUUGCCCGUUAUUCUUCAUGUGUAAAUGACGUUCAUGGAUAUCCGAUAUGUUAUCCAAAAAAAAAAGAAACAAUAACACAAAGUUGAUGUCAUUUAGGGGUGGGUGAUGGGUUGAAUAGUACUUAAAAAAGGAAGUGCAAGUGCAAGUAAGAAAUUUGAUUUCGAGACCUCCUCCACCCCACCACCGGCACCAAGAAGUGUAUAUAUAUUAAAUCCACUUUAAAGGUAGUACCUAAAUUAAGACGAUUACAUGUGUAAGGACGGUUUUGGCUAACGACACAACUAAUUAAAUAGCUUCGUCCGCGAUAAUCUACCAACCAAAACAGGAGAAACGUUUCCUUAAUAAUAAUUUUUAACUUAUCUGACAUCGUUGUCCCAUAUAUUAGGUGAAUCAGCUCAUGGGCCGGUUGCCAAUCCUGCAUUUCCACACAUACACAAAGCCACAACCUUUCGCUGUCACAGUCGAAAUGCUCUGCCCACCAGAUCGUACGGUUGGACAUAUAAAACCAAUAUUAGGACACAUCAUUGGCCUCCGCAACGUCACGCUCCAUGGAAUUAUAGGAUCCCACUAAAUCCCCUAUUUUAAGCAAAACAUAUCUCUAUUUAGUAUGCAGAGAUUAUUUUAAUGGUUGUGUUCGUUGUUUAGCAUAAGACAAGCAUAGGUUAUUAGAUUUGGACUUUGGAGCGCACUUUAAAUUUAGAGAUAUGUUUCCCAGGACUCAAACACCCACUAAGAACAGAAACGCCCCAAAUUAUAUAUGGAGAACAAAGCGGACAGGUGUCCGGUGGAUAUUGUGCCACAUACUAAUAUGUCACUUUAGCCGCCGGUGCACGAGUGGGAGCGCUGUGUUUACCGGCCCAAAAGAGAAACAAUAAUAAAAAAAAAAAAAAAAAAAAAUGAAAAGCGGAAAGCAAAUCGGAUGCCUGCCCAGCGGCUGUUUGGCCCCCCGCUCUGAAUUUCUGUUUUCUUACCCAAAAAGGCUCGUCAACUCGUGCCUCCCUGCUUCGGCGCGUCUCUCCUGGUUCUGUUGUUAGGCUUUGGGUAACUUGGAUCGGAGGCCUCUACACAGAUAAUUCCACCGUGUAAGUUUUAGUGUACACGCUGAAAUACCAAAUAAUGAAAAAUAUGAACUGUUUCGUAUCUCAUAUAUUGGAAAAAAAAUAUUUAUUUUUGUCCAUCGCUUCUAAAAUAAAACAAACGAGUCCCUCCACAUUUGAAAGAUGAAGCAAAUUAGUCUUGGUAUGACUACCUGGUUUAGAUUUUAGGAGUAGAAUUUGAACAUCACUUUAGUUUCUUCCAAAUCCGAUAUGCCCAUGAUAUUAACUCAACAUAAGAAAGAAAGAAAAAAUUUUAAAUUAUAACAUCAAAGACAAACCCUCCUGUAUAAAAAUAUUUUUUGAGCAAAUAAUAUUAAGUCAACAUUAAAAGAAAAACCAAAAAAAAUGUAGCAUCAACGAGGUUCUUAAUCUGAAUAAAAAGUUGUAUUACUUACAUUACAAAGAAAAGCAAAUAGUAAAGUCACGUGCGCUGAUGCACAUCUCUCAAUUAUUAGUUGUACUUUUAUAUAAUUUAACACCUCCAAUCUUAAUGUAAUUUUUUAUUUUCUAUCUUAAAUUUUUGAGUGUAUCUAUUUCUUAUGGAAAUUUAUACUCACACAAAUUUUAAUUAUUUCUUAAAUUGCCAAAACUUCAUGAAUUUGUGUAUAAUUUUUAAGAUUAUAGCAUUUGCAAUACUAGCAUGACUCUAUUAGAAGUUUAUUCUGUGAAAUUCAUUUGGCAUAUCGUGUUUUAAUGAUCCAUUAUAAAGAAGUUUAUCCCUCUUAAGUUGACUUGGCAAGUGCACACGGGUGUUGGCCAAUGGAGGGCUUUUUAGCGUCUUUCCCACGGUUAAAUUUAGGGUUCAAAUUCCGUCUUUACGGUUGAUGGUGGAAAGAGUGUAGAGAAGGGUGGAAGGGUUAAAAAAAAAAAUGCAUAAGGUGUUAAAAAAAAAAUGCAAAUUCAUAUUUUUCAAGCUAAUAAGUUCCAAAUUGUUAUUUUUAUGUUGCAUUUGUACCUUGCUUCACAUUUCGUUUGAGUUCUACAUUACUUAGGAAAUAAUUGAGAUUUUUAAGAUAUUUUUUUGCUACAUGUUUAUUUUUACAAUCACCAUUUUAUCUGACAUAAAUUAUAAAUAUAUGUUAUAAUUAAAAAAUUCCAAUGCAAUCGUUAAUUUUGUAAGUAAAUAUAAGUACUGCCACCAGUAUUACGAUAAACACUUUCAAUUGCUUAGAGUAUAUAUUUUUUUGUAAAUUUUUACGCUUUUUAUUGCUAAAAGUUUUAGUGCACGUAUAGUUGUAUUUAAAUCAAUUUAGCAAUUGUUAAAGAAAUAGUUAUUUAUUAGGUUGCAAUUGUUAUGUAUUCGAGAAUUAGUCAAGAGUAUUUUGGUCUUGUAAAAUAUAACCUCGCCUUAAUCAUUAUAAUAAUAUUAAAGCGUAAAGUGUAUAUAUUUGCGGUUUAUGGGACAAAGUGUUAACCCCAUUUAAAACUUAUCUCUUUCUUAUGUAGUAUGACCUCAACCAAAAAAAAAAAUUUUUUUUUUUGACCAUAUCAUCGCGGAUUUUUUUUUUAAAAAAAAAAACUUUCUUUUUUUAUAUUCGCAGAAACACAACAUGGAGUUACUGUGGUCCCUGAUGUAUGUACCCAAGAACCUAUUGGCCAACCUUUUUUUUGAAGCAAGCCUAUUGGCUAAUCUUAAACCUUGAAAUUAAUACCCCAUUCAAAGAAUUAAAUUAAGAAAAUGUCAGAAAAAAAGAAUUAAAUUAAGAUGAUGAAGGUGAUUCAGCUAGGUGUUCUUUCCAGGUUAGCAAUUUUGGCAUCACGCCAUGUGCUUAGGACACGUUGCAUAUUCUGUAAGGGACCACGCCAAUUUUUUCAAAAAGUCCACCACCUUCACUCCCCGCGCGUGACCUUAGAACAGAAGUCAUAAAAGCUUGGAAAAUAUCUAAACGGCCGGGACUCUGACGUGUAUCAAAAGAUGAUACCCCAAGUGGGCCCCCUUCUCUUGAGCCCAAGAAAUAUCGUCGUCAAACCCAAAUGACCUCCACGUUACCACUUGUUCACUGUUUUGCCACCUUCCCCACUUAUAUACCCUCCACCAUUCACCUCUCUCAAAUUCAAUGCAAAUUUUGCAUCCUCACUCGUCACCGCCACCGCUAUCAACCUCCUCCGUCACCGGCGACCGCCUCUUUUUUCUUUUUUAACCCCUUCUGGAGGGGUAACAGUUAAAAUAUCGGUAUAUGGGAUGGAGGCUGCUAACAACAAUAUAAUUGCCCCGUUUGUUAUGAAGACGUAUCAAAUGGUGAACGAUCCUUCCAGUGAUGGACUUAUUGCCUGGGGUAAAGCUAACAAUAGUUUCAUUGUUAUCGACCCUUUGGACUUCUCUCAAAAAAUUCUUCCUGCUUACUUCAAGCACAACAAUUUCUCCAGCUUUGUUCGUCAGCUCAAUACUUAUGUAAGUAAAUAUUUAGAUGUCGUCAUAGUUAAUUUAGAUUUUUGUUGAUGCGGUCAAAGUCCUACAUAAUUUCAAGAAUCUUUAUUUCUAUUCGUAAAAAUGAACAUUCUUGGCUUAAGAGUAGAGUAAAGAGAGUUUAGUUUAGUGGAUAAAGAGGGUUCAAGUUUCUCCUUCUACUUUCCUACUCAUUAAAUCCCACUCUUUCUCUGUUUUGAAGAGUGGGUUGGGGGGGGGGGGGGGGCGGAAGAAAGUUCUUUGUUUUGUACUUGUAUAUCCUCGUCUCUAUAAUUGAGGGUCGUGUUAUGUUGUUAAACAGUUACGUGCCAUGAGGAUCUGGUGUGGCUUAGUAGUUAGUAGUUAAGGGUCCUUUUGUUUUUUUUGGUCACAGUACAAGUGGAUUCCAUUUUUAUCCUGGCUGCUUUUACCUUUCCACAAAGUUAAAAAGAAAAGUGCUACUAAUAUAUGUGUGUAAACUUGAUUAUGGAAAUUUCAGGGUUUCAGAAAAGUGGAUCCAGAUAGAUGGGCUUUCGCCAAUGAAUGGUUUUUGAGAGGGCAAACGCAUUUGCUCAAGAAUAUUUCUAGGAGGAAGCACUGUAGUAGAAACUCAAGUAACAGUAGAGCUGAAGAUGAUGAAGAUGAUGAGGGAAUAAUAAUGGAGUUAGCUAGGUUAAAGCAAGAGCAAAAGGAAUUAGAUCUACAGCUCUCAAGGAUGAACAAGAGACUUGAAGCAACCGAGAGGAGACCCCAACAAAUGAUGGCUUUCUUGAGUAAAGUUGCUCAAGACCCUGAAAUAUUACCCCGUAUGAUGCUUGAAAAAGAAAGAACUAAAAGGUUAAAUAUUGCUAGUGGGGACAAAAAGAGAAGCAUAAUGAUGAUUUCCUCAACUUCGCCUUCGGCUUCUGUUUCUUCUCCUCCCUCCUCAUCAGGAAUGCCUUUGACAAGCUCUUCAGUAAAGAGCGAGGAGGAAGAGGAUGAUGCCAAUCUCGACGUUGAUAACUAUUGUCACUUUUCCUCUUCGCCGGAGACACCUUCCUCUGCAUGGUUCAGCCAAAGACCAGUCCUGGGUCGGUCCGUGAUUGCCCAAGAAUCUAGUAACAGUGGCGGCAAUAUUUCAAGCUCUCUGUCAUCGGGUUCCUCCGCCGGUAGUAGUGGUUCUACUGUUGCUCCGCCAUUGGAUGGUGUUCCGGCAAGUGAUGCUACGUUUGGUGGUGAUAUAAGUUAUGUAGGACGAGCUGCGGUCGGGGAGGCUGUUAGUCCACAACCGCCUUAUCCAUUCUCACUUUUAGGAGGCGGUUUCUAGUUAAACACUUUCAUAGAUUUUAAGGCUUUUUUUUUUUUUAGGUGGCAAAAUUACUAUUAUCGAGCUAUUUUGAUCAUGUAAUUCUUCAAACAUGUGCCUUACAUCAGAGCCUUAUAGGAUUAGGACCCGAUACCAUUCUUUAUAAGAUGGUAAAAUGGUGAUCCCAAGAAAAGCCAAAAAAAAAAAAAAAAAAAAAAAUUUGCAAACAUAGGGUCAGUUGUGUACAUUUCGUAUUUGAUCCUUAGCUUACUUAAUUUAUCGGGUGCAUUCUUACAUACAUAUUCUCCGACAGUGCUGGUAUUAUAAUGAUAAUGCAAGUUUCAAAGGAGUGCAAAGCGCAAGGAUGAAACUUAAGUUGUGUACCUACGGUUCUUUGCUUUUGGUCGUUUUUGUGGCCGAAGUAUCCAAUUGGCGACUAUUGUAUUUAUGCACAUAUAUCAUAGAAUAUGUUAAAAUACUCUUACCACCCUUUUUUAUUCCAAAAGACUAAAAUUUAUUUUUUGUCUACAAAAUUUAUUUGAAUGUAUUUUUCAAUCAUCUUUUUACUUUACAUAUAUCACAUUAUUAUAAUAUAUUUUUUUAAUAAAAAUUUUAAAAAAUAACAAUCCAAACAGGCUGUUACAACAGCGGCUUUUCUCCUCAAUAAACUUGGUAGGCAUGAUGAUGAAUUCGGAGAUGGGCAAGACUUGCUUAGUCACUUGGGUUGGGUAACUGAGGAAAAGAAAAAGUUACAUAGUUUCUUAUAUGAGUUAAAAUUAGAACAUAUUAGUUUCUUAUGUUGGAACAAUAUGCUGCUAAUUUUUACUGUGGUUGAUUAAGCCUUCAUGUUUGGUUAGCUGUCAAGAUUGGAAAGAAAAUCUAGAAAAUACGGAGGGAAGGGUUGGAUUGGAUGGUAAAGUGGGAGGGGUUGUAAGUAGAUUGGAAAGAAAAUCUAGAAAGAUAAGGAGGGAAGGGUUGGAUUGGGGUGGUAAAGUGAGAGGGGUUGUAAGUAGGAAAUCCAUUUUGAAAAAAAAGUAGAUAAGUUUAAUAUUGUGAAAGAAAUGCAAUUUUGGUCUCCAAAUUUUUUUUUUUUUAUAUUUGUGCAAUUUUAUUCCUAAAAUUUAGGCAAAAACAAAUCAAACCCCUAAUGUUUGACACUUGAUGCGAUUUUAGUAUUUAAAAUUUUGGUAAAAACAAAUUUAAUGACCAUUGUUAUCAAUUCAAAAUAGAUUUGGGACAAUUCAGUGGAUUUUUCAAUUAUUGACCAAAUCAGAGUAUAAUUUCAGAAACCACCCUUGAGGUUUUAAUAAUUUCAUUUAGCUCUCUCAAGGUUUUAAAAAUUACACAUAUUUCCCAUUGAAAAUUAUUGUUUUUAAAUAAUUUAAUGAAAUUCCCUUGUUUGGUGUGCUUAUUCUUAGAAUAACUUUUAAAAUUAUUUUUUCAUUAUUUUUUCCUUCGUAUUCCUUUUUUUAAUUAUUUGCUAAUAAAAUUGUAGAGCUACCACUAUUACAUCUAGUUUCUAUUAUAACUAAAUGUCAAACUAGUGAUUUUUUUUAUCAGUUAACUUAUAUGUAAUCCAAUGUUUUUUGUUGAUCUUUAUUUUCUAUUUUGUGCUAUUAAAAUUAGAAAUAAAUCAAAAAGAAAUGGCCCAAAAUCAUUACUAAAUUAUGAUAAUUCCACUGCUCAAAAAAUUCACAAAUUCUAAAUAAAUUAUUUCAACAUUUUCUUUUAUAUCAUAUAAAUCUAAAUACAUUAUAAAAUACCAUUAAAAGUAUCCUAUCAUAGUAAUAAAAUUAUUGUUAUAGUUGUAUAUCAAAUAGUAGGUAUGGACAUGAAAAAAUUUGACACUUUUUCCUUAUAAUUAUACUAGAUAAUUUUAUAAUUGCAUAGAAAAAUAAAUUAAAACUCAUUAUCCAAGGGCAUUUUUGGGUAUUCAUUUAAAAGUUUGAUCAAGUCAAUAUUAUUUUAAAGUUUUGUUGCUAAAACUAUCAAAUCAAGAAAGGUAGGUGUAAUUUUUCAAAUCUCAGAAGAGUUCAUUGAAAAUGUUAGAAACCGUAGGAGAGGUUUCUGAAAUUAUCCCCCAAAUCAGUCACGUAUAGUCUCAUGUUUGUUACAUUAAACAUCUAAAAAAAUAAGCAGAAUAAUGACUAACUUUGAACAACAAGAAUAACUAGUGCAAUUAUCAGAUGACUAACUAAUUAACCAAGAAACAAAAAUAAAAUUGUUAAACCAUACGCAAAAUGUAAGUGUCAAGGUUUUUUGUUCGGAAUGGAUUGUAAAUCGAUGAAUUAGGUACUGCGACUAGUUUCAGUUUUGUUGUUUAACAAAUUCAUUUUAAACUAGUUAAUUAGUUAGUACAUGAGUUGUUUUUGUCCUUAAUCUUGUUGUUUAAAAUCAAUUGCUAUUUUGCUUAUUUAUUUUGAAAUUCAAUUUACAUGACACACAACUAUACGUGACUAACUUCUAUCACUAAUUGAAAAAUAUUUUCAAAUAACCUAAAUAUGCUUUAAAUUGGAUACGCUAGGGACCAAAUUUGAUCUUGCCGAAAUUUAGAACCUAAAACUACAUAUGUACUAAACAUUGAGGACUAUUUAUUUUGGUCGAAAUUCUAAAGACUAAAUUGCACAAGCACUUCAUAUUGAGAACUAAAAUUGCGUUUUGUCCUUAAUGCUAGACUUCAAUUUAAGUGGUAAAAGAAAGGAAUAAGGUUUUGAAAUAGAAUGUUUUGAACGUCAUGACCAAAAUUUCAACAAAUCGCGACUUCAAGUAACCGAUCUUUCCGUUCCCUCUCAUUUUCCAAUUACUGUGCGAGUACUAUCUGUUUACACCACAAAGUAUAGCUCAAAGUCAAAUGCCAAACUUGACAAUGCCAGGGGUGCUUACGUUAGGACCGACUGCAGUUGCAUGAUUAGCAGGAGACAUUCACCCAAACUAUAUCUACCACAAAUUAUGCAUUUAAAGUUUAGUGAUAAUACAUUCAUUUUUCUUUUUGCUUCUAAAUCAAGCGUGCAAAUAUAAAAAAUUACCAGUCCACGUUGCCUAAGCGGAAUGGCAGAGGAGUUUGCUCAUUUCUGGCAUUGUAGGGUUGGAAAAGUAAAGAGACGAUGAGCCCACAAAUGAAUUGGAAUGGAGGCAAGCAAGGGGUGAUUUGUUAGCCAAUGAAUUAAAGCCAUAAAUGGAUUUGCCCACUUUCCCAUUCUGGUUCAAAAUGCUAUGACGAUGCCCGUUGCAAUUUGGCAGGUUAUGAUAGCUCCCGACAAGGUCCAGCUGAAGAGAGUCCCCACUCCCAGUCUCCUACUCCCUCCCAUCUGAUUAUCCUGCUUCCAUGUGAUCGGGCCCUGUAUUGGGAAAUGGUUUUACUUUGUGCGUCUGCGAACUUCCCUUUCGAUGCCCCAUGUUAAAGUGAACGGCAGGAGCAUCCGCUAGUUCUUUGUUGUGCCGGCGUCUAAAAAAUUGUAAAGCAGUAAUAUUUUGUCAAAUUUCGAAUCCUGCUCACUGCUUUGUUAGUAGAUUAUAUAUAGUAGUGCAAGCCUUUAAACUAGAUUUUAAAGACGUGUUUGCUUCGGAUUCCGGAAUCUGAAUUGAAAAUUGGAAUCAUGAACUUCGGUGUUAGAUUUUGGUCUUUGAUCCUUGCAUGUUAAUAUGGUUUGGGAGCUAAACGAAUUCAUUCCAUUAUAAAAUUAUUUAAUCAAUUUGGAAGUUCAAGCUAUAACUGAGGAGUGGUAAAAGGCAAGAUCUUACACUUUCAUUCUUAUUGACUCAUUCUCAUGAUGAUCUACCAAGCAAUAAAUAUGAGUAUAAUUAAUUUUAACAUUCCUUCUUACCCCUCGUACUC